rnacentral:rRNA from 1 species
AGAGUUUGAUCAUGGCUCAGAAUGAACGCUGGCGGCGUGCUUAACACAUGCAAGUCGAACGAGAACGGGAUUGCUUGCAAUCCUUAGUAGAGUGGCGCACGGGUGAGUAACACGUAGAUAAUCUACCUUCAAGCCUGGGAUAACUAUUCGAAAGGAUAGCUAAUACCGGAUGAAGUAUGUUGGCAUAAGUUGACAUAUGAAAGGUUGCCUCUUCUUGAAAGCAAUUGUUUGGAGAUGAGUCUGCGGACCAUUAGUUUGUUGGUGGGGUAAAGGCCUACCAAGACUGCGAUGGUUAGCUGGUCUGAGAGGAUGAUCAGCCACACUGGAACUGGAACACGGUCCAGACUCCUACGGGAGGCAGCAGUGAGGAAUUUUGCGCAAUGGGGGAAACCCUGACGCAGCAACGCCGCGUGAGUGAAGAAGGCCCUUGGGUCGUAAAGCUCUGUCGACAGGGAAGAAAUUACUUCAUAUUAAUAGUAUGUUGUAUUGACGGUACCUGUAGAGGAAGCACCGGCUAACUCCGUGCCAGCAGCCGCGGUAAUACGGGGGGUGCAAGCGUUAUUCGGAAUUAUUG